rnacentral:rRNA from 1 species
AACGAACGCUGGCGGCAGGCUUAACACAUGCAAGUCGAGCGCCCCGCAAGGGGAGCGGCAGACGGGUGAGUAACGAGUGGGAACGUACCCUUUGCUACGGCAUAGCUCCGGGAAACUGGAAUUAAGACCGUAUGUGCCCUACGGGGGAAAGAGUUAUCGGCAAAGGAUCGGCCCGCGUUGGAUUAGAUAGUUGGAGGGGUAAUGGCCUACCAAGGCGACGAUCCAUAGCUGGUCUGAGAGGAUGAUCAGCCACAUUGGGACUGAGACACGGCCCAAACUCCUACGGGAGGCAGCAGUGGGGAAUAUUGGACAAUGGGCGCAAGCCUGAUCCAGCCAUGCCGCGUGAGUGAUGAAGGCCUUAGGGUUGUAAAGCUCUUUCACCGGAGAAGAUAAUGACGGUAUCCGGAGAAGAAGCCCCGGCUAACUUCGUGCCAGCAGCCGCGGUAAAAC